rnacentral:tRNA from 2 species
AGGGGUGUAGUUCAAUUGGUAGAGCAUCGGUCUCCAAAACCGAAUGUUAGGGGUUCGACUCCCUUCACCCCUG